rnacentral:rRNA from 1 species
UAGGGAAUCUUCCGCAAUGGGCGAAAGCCUGACGGAGCAACGCCGCGUGAGUGAUGAAGGUCUUCGGAUCGUAAAACUCUGUUAUUAGGGAAGAACACAUGUGUAAGUAACUAUGCACGUCUUGACGGUACCUAAUCAGAAAGCCACGGAUAACUACGUGCCAGCAGCCGCGGUAAUACGUAGGUGGCAAACGUUAUCCGGAAUUAUUGGGCGUAAAGUGCGCGUAGGCGGUUUUUUAUGUCUGAUGUGAAAGCCCACGGCUCAACCGUGGAGAGUCAUUGGAAACUGGGAAACUUGAGUGCAGAAGAGGAAAGUGGAAUUCCAUGUGUAGCAGUGAAAUGCGCAGAGAUAUGGAGGAACACCAGUGGCGAAAGCGACUUUCUGGUCUGUAACUGACGCUGAUGUGCGUAAGCGUGGGGAUCAAACAGG